CCCCGGGACCGGACCCGGGCCGACCGGACGGGUGGUAAGUAACCGUAACGUUAGUAACGUAAACCGUACCGGUACCCGGUACGACGGGAGGGGGAAGUACGGACGGAAAGUAAACGUUCCGUUACUUAACGUACCGACGUAACAACCCAUGGAGGCAUCUCUGUGGGUUUAAAGGAAGCGAUUCCGGCUACGGAUGGUCAUGCGUCGCAUUAGCUUGUUGGCGGGGUAACGGCCCACCAAGGCGACGAUGCGUAGGGGUUCUGAGAGGAAGGUCCCCCACACUGGUACUGAGACACGGACCAGACUCCUACGGGAGGCAGCAG
rnacentral:rRNA from 1 species